UACUUUCAAAGGUCCCAUUACAGCUUCUCU
rnacentral:piRNA from 1 species